rnacentral:rRNA from 1 species
ACGAUCCCAGGUCAGGCGGGAUCACCCGCUAUGUUUAAGCAUAUAAAUAAGCUAAGGAAAAGAAACUUACUAGGAUUCCUUUAGUAAUGACAAGCAAACCAAAAAAAGCCCAGGUUAGGAAUCGAGUGCCCUUUGCAUCCUAAUUGUAGUAUAGAGAAGUGUCCUUAGUGGCAAAAUGGGCCAAGUCCCCUGAAAAAGGGCAUCGGAGAGGGUAAGAGCCCCAUUGUGCCUGGACCUUGUACACCAUGAAUCAUUAUCUACAAGUCAAGUUAUUUGGUAAUGCAGCACCAAUCGAGUGGUAAAUUCCAUCCAAAGUUGAAUAUGAACAAGUACUGUAAGGGAAAGAUUAAAAGGACUUUAGAAAGAGAGUUUACGAGUCAUUAAAAUUGUCAUGAGGGAAGUGGAUAAGGGUCAAUGAUGCAACCCAAUUUGAUGUGGAACAAUGAAAGCUAGUCGCCAAUUAGCUCGAGGCAUGGACCGAUGUGUGUCAUAGCUGUAGCCUAAGCCUCGGCUUUCAAAAUGCCCACGAAGAUGUCAUUGACAUGGUCAUGGAAUGCAACAAACACUAUCUUGGCAUGUCUCGACACUGAUAUGCUCUCAGGGUCGAUAUAUGUGCUUUUCAUCUGGCUUGUCUUGAAAUACAGACCAAAGAGUCUAACAUGUGUACAAGUCAACAAGCUAGUAAACCCAUAAAGCAUAAGGAAGCUGAUUGGUAAAAUCCUUUAUGAGUGCACCGCCGAUCGACCUUGAUAUUUUAAUAAGGGUUUAAGUGGGAGCAUGCUAGUUGGGACCCAAAAUAUUGUGAACUAUGCUUGAGUGGGGUAAAGCCAAAGGAAACUUUGGUAGAGGCUUAUAGUGAUACUGAUGUGCAAAUUGUUCAUCUAACUUGGGUAUAGGGAUGAAAGACUAAUUGAACCUUCUAGUAGCCAAUUCCCUCUAAAGUUUCCCUCAAGAUAGCUUAAGCCCUUAGCGAGUUAUAUCGGGUAAAGCCAAUGAUUAGAGGCAUUGAGGGUACGAUGCUUUUAACCUAUUCUUAAACUUUAAAUAGGUAGGACGAUGCAGCUACUUCGUUGAGCCAUACUAUAGAAUUAAGAGCUCCAAAUGGGCCAUUUUUGGCAAGCAAAACUAGCGAUAUGGGAUGAACUAAAAAUCGGGUUACAGUGCCCAAUUACACACUAACCUAGAACGUACAAAUGGCAUUUUUUGAUUAAAAUAAUAGGAUAGUGGUCAUGGAAGUUAAAAUUCGUAAAAAAGUGUGUAACAACUCACUUGUCGAAUUAAGCAGCCUUGAAAAUGAAUGGCUCUUAAGCAUCUAACCUGUACUCGAUCGUUGGGGAAAGAACCAGGCUCCGAUGAGUAAGAAGGCACAAUAGUCUCGGUAAAAACUAGGGCAUAACCUUAGGUGGAAUGACCAUCGAUACAAUUCUUGGUGGUAGUAGUAAAUAUUUAAAUAAGAACUUUAAAGGCCAAAAAAGAGAAAGGUUCCAUGUGAGCAACACUUACACAUAAGUUAAUCGAUCUUAAGAGACAAGGGAAGCCUAUCUGAUAGUGAGUUUAGCAUGAGCUUCGAAAGGGAUCAAAGUUCUUAAACUAGGAUGUGGCGGCUAAUGACAAUGUUAAGGAGUCUAAAAACAUCAGUAGGUGCCUUGAGAAUAGUUAUCUUUUUUGUUUAACGGUCUACCCACCCUAGAAAUAGCUUAGUCAAAGAUAGGGUCCUACGGUUAGAAGACCACCACACAUUGCGUGGUGUUCAAUGCACCUCCAGUGGCCCUUAAAAAUUCAAAAGGCCAAGUGCCAUCCUUAUCUGGUCAUACUCAUAAUCGCAUUAGGUCUUUAAAGUGAAUAGCCUCUGGUCGAUGGAACAAUGUAAGCAAUAGAAGUCAACAAAAUGGCUCUGUAACCUCAAGAAAAAAAUUAGCAUUGAGGUUAGGCAUGCGAGUCCUAGUCUCAAACUUGUUGACUAUCGGUGCACUAUUUAAGCUACUCCUACAGUGAAAAUGGGUUAAAGCAUGUCAGAUGAGGGAUGGACUGGGAAUGGCUCAUUGAGGACCUUCCCUGGGUGAUGAACAUUUUACUCAAAGCUAGUACAAAUAAGGGAAAUCCAACCAUUUAAUUAAAACAAAGCAUUGCAAUGGUCCCUAUGGAUGCUCAUACAAUGUGAUUUCUGCCUAAUGCUUUGAAUGUCAAAGUGAAAAAAUUCAACCAAGCGUAGGUAAAUGGUGGGUGUAACUAUGACUCUCUUAAGGUAUUGAAAUGCCUCAUCAUCUAAUCAGUGACAUGUUUGAAUGAAUUAAUGAGUUUCCUACUAUCCCUAUCUACUAUCCAAUGAAACCAUAGCUAAGGGAAUAAGCUUGAAAGAAUCAUUAGGGAAAGAAGACCCUAUUGAGCUUAACUUUAGUUUGACUUUGUGAAAUGACUUGAAAGGUAUAAGAUAAAUGCGAGCCCUCAAGCGAAAUUGAAAUGCCACUACUUUUAACGUUAUUUUACUUAUUUCGUGAGUUAAAGGUGAAGCACGACCCCUUUUUUUAAACCCAAAGUCAGUUUCGAUUGAUUGAUCUAGGCAAAAGACAUUGUUAGGUGGAGAGUUUGGCUAGGGUGGCACAUCUAUUAAAAGAUAAUGCAAGUGUCCUAAGAUGAGCACAAUGAGAAUAAAAAUCUCAUAUGAAAUAAAAGGGUAAAAGCUUGUUUGAUUUGAUAUCUAAUACGAAUUUUAACCCUGAAAGCAUGGCCUAUUAAUCUUUUAGACCUUCAAAAUUUGAAGCUAGAGAUGUCAAAAAAGUUGCCACAUGGAUAACUAGCUUAUGACAGCCAAGUAUUCAUAGCGACAUUACUUUUUGAUCUUUCGAUGUUGGCUCUUCCUAUCAUUAUGAAACAGAAUUCACCAAGUGUUGGAUUGUUCAUCCACCAAUAAAAAAUGUGAGCUAGGUUUAGACUAUCAUGAGUCAGGUUAGUUUUACCCUACUAAUGAUAGCGUCGUAAUAGUAAUUUAACCCAAUAUGAAAAUAACCAUUGAUUUGCAUAAUUGGUCAUUGCACUUGGCUGAAAAGCCAUGGCACAAAGCUAGCAUGUGUUUCAUUAUGAUAGAACACCUCUAAGUCAAAAUUUAGGCUAGAAGCAAUGCACAUGCUUGCUGCCCUGAUUGCCAACCUAUUGUGGGGGCACAUGGCCCCUAAGGGCAUGUGUCAUAGGUGUAGCCCCCAUGAUGGACAAGUUACGCAAGCCUUCUUAGAGCUAAAUUCCCACUGAG